UUCUUUUUGUUUAUAUAUAAAGUAGGGCCUGCUCAAUGAAUUUUAAAUAGCUGCGAUUUUUAUCGUGCGAAGGUAGCAUAAUAAAUUGUUUUUUAAUUGAAAUCUGGAAUGAAUGGUUUAACAAAGAAUUAACUUUCUUAAUAAAUUUUUUGUUAAUUUUAUUUUUUAGUAAAAAAGCUUAAAUGGUCUUAUGGGACGAUAAGACCCUAUAAAAUUUAACUCCAUUAUUACAGAUAAGCUUAUAGAAUUAAAAGCUUAUCUAUGAUAAUGGAGUUUAGUUGGGGUGACUAUUAAAUUUAAAUAACUUUAAUUUGUUUUUUUUUCAUAAAUUAGUGAAUAUUUUGAUCCCAAAUAUUUGGAUUAUAAGAUUAAAUUACUUUAGGGAUAACAGCGUAAUUUUCCUUUGGAGUUCUUAUUUGUAGGAAAGAUUGCGA
rnacentral:rRNA from 1 species